GACGAACGCUGGCGGCGUGCUUAACACAUGCAAGUCGAACGGAAAGGCCCUGCUUGCAGGGUACUCGAGUGGCGAACGGGUGAGUAACACGUGGGUGAUCUGCCCUGCACUUCGGGAUAAGCCUGGGAAACUGGGUCUAAUACCGGAUAGGAGCCAUUUUUAGUGUGAUGGUUGGAAAGUUUUUUCGGUGUAGGAUGAGCUCGCGGCCUAUCAGCUUGUUGGUGGGGUAAUGGCCUACCAAGGCGGCGACGGGUAGCCGGCCUGAGAGGGUGGACGGCCACAUUGGGACUGAGAGACGGCCCAGACGCCUACGGGAGGCAGCAGUGGGGAAUAUUGCACAAUGGGCGCAAGCCUGAUGCAGCGACGCCGCGUGGGGGAUGACGGCCUUCGGGUUGUAAACUCCUUUCGCUAGGGACGAAGCUUUUUGUGACGGUACCUAGAUAAGAAGCACCGGCUAACUACGUG
rnacentral:rRNA from 1 species